rnacentral:rRNA from 1 species
GAUGAACGCUGGCGGUAUGCCUAACACAUGCAAGUCGUACGAGAGUUUUUAACUCUAGUGGCGGACGGGUGAGUAACACGUGAGAAUUUGCCUUUAGGAGGGGGAUAACAAUUGGAAACGAAUGCUAAUACCCCAUAUGCUUUUGAGUGAAACGGAUUUAUCCGCCUAGAGAGAAGCUCGCGGCUGAUUAGCUUGUUAGUAAGGUAAGAGCUUACCAAGGCGACGAUCAGUAUCUGGUUUGAGAGGACGAUCAGACACACUGGAACUGAGACACGGUCCAGACUCCUACGGGAGGCAGCAGUGGGGAAUUUUCCGCAAUGGGCGAAAGCCUGACGGAGCAAUACCGCGUGAGGGAAGACUGCCUAUGGGUUGUAAACCUCUUUUUUCAGGGAGGAAUAAAUGACGUGUACCUGAAGAAUAAGCAUCGGCUAACUCCGUG